UGAUUUUUUCACAGUUUCUUUUACAGAAGGAGCUUAAAAAUGACAAAAUAUUAAAUACAAGAUUCUGCUUAAAAAAAAAUAAUCGAGAAAAGAAUACUACAUAGAAACUUAUGAUGAAUAAUUACAUCAUAAUAUAGACGAAUGAAAUAAUGGAUGAUAAAAUAGAUAAAGUCAGAGAAGAUCGCACUGAAGGAAUGGAAAAGAUAAUAUUUAAAAAGUAUCUAUUUUGCAACACUAGAUUCACUAAUAAUGAAUAUUCGGUUCUAUUCGCAAAUUAAAAAGGUAUAUUCACGAAGACAUAAUCUCCAGGACGAAAGUCAAGAUGCGGUGGUCUUUUGAUAAGAAGGUGAGUGACCUUUGAAGGUAGAAGAAGGCCAGAACUAAUGUACGUUUUGCCACGCUGAGACCGCAACCAAAUCAGACGACGAAUUCUUUCCAUAAGAUAAACGGUACCGGGCACAAAUAUCCACUUCCAGAAGUUCGGUCCGUGGAAAAUGGUCAAAAUCCAAAAGGGAUCUUGCCUCGAAACAACCUCCUCUUCUGACAAAUGGCAUUGAGCAAACAGUUAUCACAGUAAGAAUGAUGAUAAGGGUUACACCAGUAGGAUUAGCUCCUCCAGCGAUUAAUCCAAACAUAUGGGGACGUGUUGUUAAAAGCCACUCAGUCAUUGUGUAAUUACGAUUGUUAAGCUCUUCAUCAUUUAUCACCACCAUACCUGAACAAGUCGUGUUAUUUGAAUUGACUGAAACAAACAUAGCAAAUUAUUGAAAUUAUGCCCCUUACCAAAAUUGAGGAGAUGCAUUAAAGUAUGAACGAUACUGAAUAUUCCAAUAAGCAUUCCAGUCACUUUAUGAAAAUAUAUAUGGUGAUCCAAAGGAAGUACUGAACUAAAUCCAUGAGUUCGUAGGAAUGUGAUACAUUGUCGAAGCAUUAAUACCAAACUAAAUGUGAUAUCGAAGUUC